UUCCCAUGUCAGCCCAGUGACACAGUCAGCAGUACACCCUCCUUGUUACCACACUGGAGUACUCAAAAAGCAGAGACUGUCUUGGAAGUAUUUUUAUUUUUUCAACUUAUUUGUUUUUAUAUUCACCUGGUUCUAAUAAGGACCCUUCUUGUAUCUCCUACUGAUUCCUCCUCUCACAUACAUAAAACAGGUUUUAAAAACAAACCAACCAAACAGAAAGUAGAAGGGCAACUAGCUGGUUAACCAUUCAAAAGGCAUAAACACCUUCUGAAUUACCUCUUUAGUUCUUUUCUACAGCACGUUAUCAUCACUUGAUCUGAACUGAACUGAAUCGAAGCCAGCUUACUGCAGCGAAUGAGAAGAUUUCCUGCAGAUGCUGGAGGUCUACAACUCGCUGAAUCAGUAUGAUGAACUGAACAGACACUUAUCCAUCUUACAGACUGUGAUGACGCAACCAGUGGAAGCCAGGUGCUCUAGGAUUCCUUUAAGGAAGAGCAGCAACUCAGUGUAAAUUCUUAACAGAAGGCACUUGCCAAAGGGAAUCAGGACUCAUUUCCCUCUUUCUUCAUCCUUGCCUCAGGGUACAUCUAAAUACAGCAGAUACCAGUAUUUCUUGCAAGAGAUCUACAUGGAUGUAACUCAGACGCUGCACUUCUAGCGUGUUGUUUUCCCCAUGGUCUUCAUGUGUUUCUUUGUAGAGAAAGAUUAAAUUAAAGGUAUUGUCUGAUAAUGAGUAUUGGGGAAAAAAAAAUCUUUGCCAAAAUUUUUUCUUUUUUC
rnacentral:lncRNA from 1 species